rnacentral:rRNA from 1 species
AGAGAGAGACAUGCGCGCAUAUCAAUAAGCGGAGGAAAAGAAACUAACUAGGAUUCCCUCAGUAACGGCGAGUGAAGCGGGAAGAGCUCAAAUUUGAAAUCUUCAAGGUUCUACCUUGACGAAUUGUAGUUUAAAGAAGUGUUUUCUGUUGGAGUUUUGGUAAAAGUUCUUUGGAAUAGGACAUCAUAGAGGGUGAGAAUCCCGUAUUUGACCUUUACUUUCAACUUUGUGAUACACUUUCAAAGAGUCGGAUUGUUUGGGAAUGCAGUCCAAAAUGGGUGGUAAAUUUCAUCUAAAGCUAAAUAUUGGCGAGAGACCGAUAGCGAACAAGUACCGUGAGGGAAAGAUGAAAAGAACUUUGAAAAGAGAGUUAAACAGUACGUGAAAUUGUCAAAAGGGAAGCGUUUGACACCAGUGUUGUUUUUCUCGAAAAUCAAUUAAAGAAAGCAGGAUUUAUGUAAGUUGUAUUAGACUUUAUCAGCUAUUCUGCUACUCGUUUCUUGAGCUUUUCUUUAAUGCACUUUUCAGUUUAACAAGUCAACAUCAAUUUCUUUUGUUGUAAAAGGGUCAUUGGAAGGUGGCUUUCUUUUCGGAGAAAGUGUUUAUAGCCUUUGGCCUCUGCAAUCGGAGAGACUUGAGGUCUGCAGCGUAGAUCCUUCGGGGUUAGAUACAUUUGUGCUAAGUUAUAGCCUUUCAUAGACAACUUGUUGACUAUGAUCAGUCAUGUAGCUUACUCGCUUAUGCUAUUUUACCUACGCUUAGGAUGUUGAUGUGAUACUGCGAGCA